CCGGACAUCACAGUCAUCAGGCGAAGGCGACGUUGAACCGGCCGAGUGAGCAGGAAAAUGCGCACGACCUGAAAGGAGACUAUUAACAGACACGAAAGGGCCUUCAGUAGCCUUUCACCUGUCCGGACAGACCUAUGUGUGUCAAUAUGGAGUCAAGGUCCUGGGAUCAGCCCGGCCGUGCUCGGAUUACCUCCUCAGCUUGCCCUGAACCCUGCUGACAUUAUUGCGCUGUGGCCGCUGUUGACACAGACCUCUGCAAUAACAUUGAGCCUCAUCAUGUGACAGAGUUCUUCAGAGCGGAAACUUCUCUCUAGCAGGUGACUUCUGCCCUGCUGCACAACUCGGCUCUGCCACCAACAGCUGUGACACCUUCAUCACCAACUUACCUUUUUAUUGUCACCGAUCAUCCUUAACUGGGACGCAUUUAAAAAGCCGUCGAUCUUGAUAAUGCCGGGCCAUAAUAUGACAUUAACAGUUGUAAGAGAUUCAGGAAGUCAAAUUUCCGAGACAGAUGAGUCGUAGCAGGUGAGUUAUCAUCCAUCUACCUGAGCGAUGCUGGGGCUUCUGUUCCACACGAAGGAGCAGACAAAUAAAUAAAAGCCAUAAAGGUGACACAGGAAAUUGGUACUUAACAAUCAUCUUGAGUAACAAGGACCCCGUGAGUGUGGUGGGCAGCAGUAACGGAUGUGGAAGGAAAAGACUGAGAAGGUUAACAGGUCAUAAAAAGAACAAAGCCUCCUUAAGGGACGACAUUAAAGUUUGGGGUUUCCCUCCUCUGUGGACAAAAGCUCUAGUCAGUCAUGGUCACUUUUAGGGAAGUGCCAUCUCUGUGAUUUUAAACAAUCUAAAAGAAAAAUUACAACCUUGAACUGCAUAUAUCUUACUUUCAGGACUGCGUUUAAAGAAACAUGCUCACUUUCAGCUGAAGCACAUUUGCAGACUUCAGUGCUACUUUUUACAUUAUGUCACAUUUUAGUUAAGGAGUAGCUUGAUUGCCUAAAAACUUUCUCUUAUGGGUCAAAAUAUGCCAAAUAAUUUCUAUUUUAUUCAUACAGAGAUUUAAAGAUGGUCUUUUUUUAGAGGUUGAUGUUUUGCUUCUCUUGCAGGGUGUGACUUUUAUAAAUGAGGGUAACCCUCCUGCUGUUUUUAAAAAAUACUACAAAAAACACACGACGUAUAAAGGUUACAUAAAAACUACCAUAAUUACAAAGCAAAAUUAAAUGCCCCUUGUCCAGUAAUGUUCUUCAUCAAAUGAUUCCUUUGAAAUGAUCAAGUCAAGUUCUUAGUUUACUUACUUAUUUUGUUUUGAAACAUGGAUAUUUGGAGCUUGGUUAAGAUAAAAUGCUGCACCAGCAAAGGAACAAGGGCAUCCUCCAGAGAAGUUUGUAAGGGGUGCACACCAACCCAAAAACAUCAAACUUUUUUGGGAUUUAUUUAGGCAUGUUGUUUGAAGUUUAGGUUCAAUUAAAUAAAUUAAAAUAAAAAGAUCAGUUGGUAGCACUGUUUCAUGGUACCAAGAAGGUCCUGGAUUCAAAUCCCAACAUGGGGUGUUUCUGUAUGGAGUUUGUUCUCUCCAUGCAUGUGUGGGUUCUCUCUAGAUUCUCAAAAACAUAAUAGUGAGGUUUAUUGGUUACUCUAAAAUGUUCUUGGGUGUGUGUGGAUGGAUGUUUCUUCUGUGUGUCUCUGUUUUCCUGUGACAGAUUGGCUACCUGUCCAGCGUGUACCUCACCUUACACCCAAUGACCGCUGGAGAUAGGCUCCAGGCCCCCUGUGACCCUGCAAGGAAGCAGAUAUAGACCAUGGAUGGAGGAUCCUCUCAAGUCAUUUUUUUAACUCUGAAAAUUGAUGUUUUUUGUAUAGAACAUAUAUUUGAUGUGCUAGAACAUGCUUUUUAGCCCCCACAAAAUUGAGUGACCAUAGAAGCUUGCCCUGUCCUCUCUCUCAAUUCAUGCAUACCGAAUAUAAUGCAUGUAGGACUGUGAGGGGCUGGCACAUUUUUAAGGGUGGACAUUUCACCCCUGGCUACACCUCCAGCUUCGUGGUUCCAAAAUAUUUUGCAUAUUUAUUUUUCCUUCUAUGUUCCUAAAAUGUUUUAGGUUUAGUUGGGUGCAAAGAAAAAACGCUGUGAUUAUGUAAAUUAGAAUCCUAUGUUUGACUAUACUGCCAAAAAAACAGAUAAAGACUAAAUAUCUAUGUUAUAUAUUUUAUAUAAAUACAUCUAUAUUGUUUAAAACUGA